AUUGAACGCUGGCGGCAGGCCUAACACAUGCAAGUCGAACGAGUGGCGGACGGGUGAGUAAUGUCUGGGAAACUGCCCGAUGGAGGGGGAUAACUACUGGAAACGGUCGCUAAUACCGCAUACCAUCGGAUGUGCCCAGAUGGGAUGAGCUAGUAGGGGGGGUAACGGCUCACCUUGGCGACGAUCCCUAGCUGGUCUGAGAGGAUGACCGGCAACACUGGAACGGAGAAACGGGCCAGAAUCCUACGGGAGACAUCGGUGGGGAAUAUUGCACAAUGAGCGCAAGCCUGAUGCAGCCAUGCCGCGUGUGUGAAGAAGGCCUUCGGGUUGUAAAGUACUUUCAGCGAGGAGGCGUUACUCGCAGAAGAAGCACCGGCUAACUCCGUGCCAGCAGCCGCGGUAAUUC
rnacentral:rRNA from 1 species